rnacentral:rRNA from 1 species
UACAGAGGGUGCAAGCGUUAAUCGGAUUUACUGGGCGUAAAGCGUGCAUAGGCGGUUCGCUAAGUCGGUUGUGAAAUCCCUGGGCUUAACCUGGGAACUGCAGUCGAUACUGGCGGACUAGAGUACGGUAGAGGGUGGCGGAACUCCGGGUGUAGCGGUGAAAUGCGUAGAUAUCGGGAGGAACACCGGUGGCGAAGGCGGCAUCCUGGACCGAGAUCGACGCUGAGGCGCGAAAGCUAGGGGAGCGAACAGG